rnacentral:rRNA from 1 species
GACGAACGCUGGCGGCGUGCCUAAUACAUGCAAGUCGAGCGGACCAAUAGAAGCUUGCUUCUAUUGGUUAGCGGCGGACGGGUGAGUAACACGUAGGCAACCUGCCUGUAAGACUGGGAUAACUUCGGGAAACCGGAGCUAAUACCGGAUAAUUCAUCCCCUCGCAUGAGGGGGUGCUGAAAGUCGGUUCACGCUGACACUUACCGAUGGGACUGCGGCGCAUUAGCUAGUUGGUGAGGUAAUGGCUCACCAAGGCGACGAUGCGUAGCCGACCUGAGAGGGUGAUCGGCCACACUGGGACUGAGACACGGCCCAGACUCCUACGGGAGGCAGCAGUAGGGAAUCUUCCACAAUGGACGAAAGUCUGAUGGAGCAACGCCGCGUGAGCGAUGAAGGCCUUCGGGUCGUAAAGCUCUGUUGUUAGGGAAGAACAAGUACCGGAGUAACUGCCGGUACCUUGACGGUACCUAACCAGAAAGCCACGGCUAACUACGUGCCAGCCGCCGCGGUAA